UGGGGAAUAUUGCGCAAUGGGCGAAAGCCUGACGCAGCGACGCCGCGUGGGGGAUGAAGCUUCUCGGAGUGUAAACCCCUUUCGACCCGGAAGAAUGUCCCGCAAGGGAUUGACGGUACCUGCAGAAGCAGCUGCGGCUAACUACGUGCCAGCAGCCGCGGUAAUACGUAGGCAGCAAGCGUUGUUCGGAGUUACUGGGCGUAAAGGGUGUGUAGGCGGCUUCCUAAGUUUGGCGUGAAAUCUCCCGGCUCAACCGGGAGGGUGCGUCGAAUACUGAGAGGCUAGAGUGCGGGAGAGGAAAGUGGAAUUCCUGGUGUAGCGGUGAAAUGCGUAGAUAUCAGGAGGAACACCGGUGGUGUAGACGGCUUUCUGGACCGUAACUGACGCUGAAACACGAAAGCGUGGGUAGCAAACAGGAUUAGAUACCCUGGUAGUCCACGCCCUAAACGAUGCAUAUUUGGUGUGGGUCAUUCAGUUGAUCCGUGCCAGAGCUAACGCGUUAAAUAUGCCGCCUGGGGAGUACAGUCGCAAGGCUG
rnacentral:rRNA from 1 species